AGUGAACGCUGGCGGUAGGCCUAACACAUGCAAGUCGAACGGCAGCACAGUAAGAGCUUGCUCUUACGGGUGGCGAGUGGCGGACGGGUGAGGAAUACAUCGGAAUCUACUUUUUCGUGGGGGAUAACGUAGGGAAACUUACGCUAAUACCGCAUACGACCUACGGGUGAAAGCAGGGGAUCUUCGGACCUUGCGCGAUUGAAUGAGCCGAUGUCGGACUAGCUAGUUGGCGGGGUAAAGGCCCACCAAGGCGACGAUCCGUAGCUGGUCUGAGAGGAUGAUCAGCCACACUGGAACUGGGACACGGUCCAGACUCCUACGGGAGGCAGCAGUGGGGAAUAUUGGACAAUGGGCGCAAGCCUGAUCCAGCCAUACCGCGUGGGUGAAGAAGGCCUUCGGGUUGUAAAGCCCUUUUGUUGGGAAAGAAAAGCAGCAGGUUAAUACCCCGCUGUUCUGACGGUACCCAAAGAAUAAGCACCGGCUAACUUCGUG
rnacentral:rRNA from 1 species